ACCUAAGGUAAGAGUCUAGUCUGAACCGGUGUCAGGGUAGAUAUCUCCCUGCACCUGUUUACACAUAUUUCCGAAGAUUUACGUCUCUUUUUUUUAAUUAUGAGUUGAAUUCAACCAAUUUGAAGUUUCUACAUGAUUAUUUAUGUUUAAUUUAUUGGAGCAAAGCAAUCUGAUCACCUCGGCCUUUAUGCUACGCAAUAGACCUCUGACAUAAUAAGGCGCCAUCUUGGACUACUUUCAGUCAAAAUGGCCGCCCCCUGUCAUCUCUGUGGGAGUAGUGCUAGAGAUCUCUAUCUGCUAUCCGGGAGGAAGAAAAGCGAGGAUGUUCUUGAAGUGAUAGCUGUCAACUUUAGUUUUGUAUCUAUAAUACAGAAAGUAUGCAGAAAUUGUUGGAGGACAUUAGAGCUUUUCGCAGGUCUUAAAAGGUCUGUUAAAAACAAUAUGGCUUCGAAGAAAAGAUGGAUAACUCCAGAUAAAAGUAAUACACCAAAGAGAAGGCGUGCUACCGUGGCUGAACAGAUUGUAUCUUCAUGUGAGAAGCGUGUGAUCCAAGUGUCUUCAAGUGAGAAGCGAAAGAGCGUGAUUGAAGUCUUGAUGUCAAGCAUAGAAAAAUUGAAGUUGGUAAUUGGAUUGUGGUGAUACAGUAGACGAAUCAAAGCAGUAUCUGGGUGUAAGGAUACCAAGGUUGUCAAGGACACAGGAACAAAUGAAGAAGCAAAACAGAAGGUGGUGAAUGAGAUGGUGGCUGCAUUCUCAGUUAUGUCAUCAAACCAGAUGAGUAUACUUUAUCAGAAGUCCCACGAUACUCUUGCUGAGCAUCCUAUGUUUGAAGCUGCUUACAAUGAACUAGAAAUCAACAUCCCCUUCUUUUUAAGACUCAUGGAAGCUAUCAUAGGGAACUCUGGUAACAAGCGAGCCACAAUUGUAAUGAUUUAUAGCAUGAUCUUAAACAGUCGCAACAACAAGGUGUCUGCAAUACAAAGGGUGAUUACAACGCUGGCUGUCAGAUGUCAUGCUGACAAUAUGCUUCUUAGUAGACUGAACAAGCUUCACAUCACUAUGUCAGUGGUCAGUAAAGGCAAUAUAAUUACUGAGUGGGGAGAUAAUUAUGGCAAGCGUUUAAAGAAAUCGAUAGCAGAUGGAAAUGAUGGCAAGUUGAAUGGGGACAAUGUGGACAUAUUUGUGACAACAAAUGACAUUCGAAUGACAAACAGGUCAAAAGACUAUCAUUUUUUUGCCACAGACUUUACACCAUUGAAGGUGACACCAGAAGACUUCAUGAAGAACGAAUAUUUGGUUACAUAUUUGGAAAAUGAAAGGGAUCCAAACAUAACGCAGGAAGGUUUAUGCCAGAUGCAAGUGUAUUUAAAGACAAUAUUAAACUUCUGGUAGCUAGAGAUCUUAUCACCCAUCUAAACUUCAAAUGGAUGGACCUUGUUGUACCAAAGCAUAUUGACCAUCCUCUUCAGGUAAUUGAUUAUGCUAUUUUUCAAAUCAGAUAAAAUGUAACUUUUGUUAUAGAGAGGUAUUUAUAUGUUGAUGAAGUCCAUCUCAAAUGACUUGUCCGUAGGACUGAAUUUGUGUCCUGCAUAUGUAAAAAGUGCUUAACAUAGGUUCAUCUAAUCUAAAUCUAAAUGUAUAGAUUGGGUGGAAUUCAAUUGUCGAUUUUUUUUUUUAUAAAUAGUUUUUCUCCUAAUCCAGUAAAAAUCCCACAGAAGUUUAAGAGUAUUCAUUUUUAGCUCAACUAUUUGAAGAAUAGUCUAGUUAUUGUACCCCCCCCCCCCCCCACAACAAAGUUGUAAGUGUGGGGGGGGGGGGGGUAUAAUGGUUUCAGGUUGUCUGUCCGUAGACGCAGUCUUGUGCGCACCAUCUCUCCUUAUCCCCUUGACAGAAUUUAAUGAAACUUCACACAAGUGAUCAGUACCAACAGUAGUUUUGCAUGGGGCAUGUUAGGUUCUUUUAGAAAAAAAAAUUUGCAGCGUUAUGGGACUUUGUUUUUUUUUGUUACUAUACUAUAUACAUAGACACAAUCUUGUGCGCACCAUCUCUCCUCAUCCCCUUGACACAAUUUAAUGAAACUUCACACAAGUGAUCAGUACCAACCCUAGUUGUGCAUGGUGCAUGUUAUAUUCUUUUAGGAGCCCGCCCGCUUAGCUCAGUAGGUAAGAGCGUUGGUCUACGGAUCGCGGGGUCGUGAGUUCGAUCCUCGGGCGGGGCGUAUGUUCAUGCAAGUUAGUCAACAACUUAUGCAGGUCUUGAAUUGAAACUUCACAUGACGUGUCUUCGGGGUUAUAAAAUUAGGUGAUAGCAUCAAGAGCCAUGACUCUGACCUGCAUUUUGGCCAAACUGGUUAAAGUUUUGCAUGCAAGUACAUAUAGCUAUUACUUACAGGCAUAAACCUCUGUAAAUUAUUUCUACUUUUGUAGGUCCCUUACUUAGCUCACUGGAUCAAGUGCUAUAACUCUGACAUGCAUUUUGGCCAAAUUAUGUCCCCUGUGAACUUGAAAAACUUCUGGUUAAUGUUUUGCAUGCAAGUAAUUAUCUCCAUAACUAAUGCAGAUGCUUGAUUGAAACUAUAUCGAUAUUCAAACAUUAAGAGUAAUAUUCUUGCUUCUAGGGCAACAAUGCAAAUACUCAAGCAUUUGCUGUCUUACUGACAGCUCUUCAUUCAUAGUGAAGUAAACAUUUCUGGGUAUCCCAGUUUUGAACUAUGUACUUUAUUACAGAUGAACAAGAAUGUCAAGAUAAAAAGUCUGUAAUGUCAUGUCAGUGACAAUUCAUGUUUGUAUAGCUUAUAUUCUAACAUAGCUCAAUUUGAUUUCCAGUUAAACAAAAAAGGAAAUCAAGCUCUGUGUAUUCUGCGUUAAAGAAGAGCACUUGUAAGGGAGCAUUAUGAUGUCAUAUUGCCGCAUGACGUCUGAUACAUUACUCCUCGUGUAAAUGAAGUCCAACAUAAUAUGUAUUACAAUAUGUCAGUGAGCAUGUCAGAAUGAAAACAGUUAAGGCAUUAAGUGUUUUAUUGUCUAAUUAACCAUUGUUCAUCGUUUAGAUGGUUCAGUAUUUAACGUCUAGGGCUAAUGCCCUUGUGGUUUAAUUCCAACGCAUUUGAACUCAGAACCAUGGUUAAUUAGACGAUAAACCACUUGAAGGCCUUGAUUAUAUGUUAAUUGUACAUACCAGUAUAUGAAAUAAUACAAUGAAUAUUUACAUUCAUCAUACUUGUGUAUUGUGUAUUAAUAUACAGUUUGAAAAUGGCUAAUGCAGAUGUUUUUGUUUUUUUAAAAAACUGUAUCAAACAGAAAAAUAAAUGUACUUGAUAACCUUUAUAAAGAGUACUGAAAAUGUUUAAAGCAAUAAAAACAUCUUAUCAG